GUGGGGAAUCUUAGACAAUGGGCGCAAGCCUGAUCUAGCCAUGCCGCGUGAGUGAUGAAGGCCCUAGGGUUGUAAAGCUCUUUCAGCUGGGAAGAUAAUGACGGUACCAGCAGAAGAAGCCCCGGCUAACUCCGUGCCAGCAGCCGCGGUAAUACGGAGGGGGCUAGCGUUGUUCGGAAUUACUGGGCGUAAAGCGCGCGUAGGCGGACUGAAAAGUUGGGGGUGAAAUCCCGGGGCUCAACCUCGGAACUGCCUUCAAAACUAUCAGUCUGGAGUUCGAGAGAGGUGAGUGGAAUUCCGAGUGUAGAGGUGAAAUUCGUAGAUAUUCGGAGGAACACCAGUGGCGAAGGCGGCUCACUGGCUCGAUACUGACGCUGAGGUGCGAAAGCAUGGGGAGCAAACAGGAUUAGAAACCCGAGUAGUCC
rnacentral:rRNA from 1 species